rnacentral:rRNA from 1 species
UGACCUCGGAUCAGGUAGGGAAACCC